UACAUGUGGGGCAAGCGUUGUUCGGAAUUACUGGGCCUAAAGGGUGCGUAGGUGGCUUGUUAAGUCAGGGGUGAAAGUUUUCGGCCCAACCGGAAAAUGGCCUUUGAUACUGGCGAGCUCGAGUGCGUGAGGGGUAACCGGAACGAGCAGUGUAGCGGUGAAAUGCGUAGAUAUUGCUCGGAAGGCCAACGGCGAAGGCAGGUUACUGGUACGCAACUGACACUGAGGCACGAAAGCGUGGGGAGCAAACAGG
rnacentral:rRNA from 1 species